AUUCAACGCUGGCGGCAGGCUUAACACAUGCAAGCCGAGCGGCGAUGAGGUGCCUGCACCUUAUCUUAGCGGCGGACGGGUGAGUAGUGCUUCGGAAUCUGCCUAUUAGUGGUGGACACCAUUCCGAAAGGAAUGCUAAUACCGCAUACGCCCUACGGGGGAAAGCAGGGGCUCUUCGGACCUCGCGCUAAUCGAUGCGCCUAAGUCGGAUUAGCUAGUUGGUGGGGUAAAGGCCUACCAAGGCGACGAUCUGUAGCGGGUCUGAGAGGAUGAUCCGCCACGCUGGGACUGAGACACGGCCCAGACUCCUACGGGAGGCAGCAGUGGGGAAUAUUGGACAAUGGGCGGAAGCCUGAUCCAGCCAUGCCGCGUGUGUGAAGAAGGCCUUUUGGUUGUAAAGCACUUUAAGCGAGGAGGAGGCUACCUGGAUUAAUACUCUAGGAUAGUGGACGUUACUCGCAGAAUAAGCACCGGCUAACUCUGUGCCAGCCGCCGCAGUAAGAC
rnacentral:rRNA from 1 species